UUACACUAGAGGCGUAACUUCUAACAUAAUUCUCGAUCGUCUCAAUUUCAGCUACAAUCCGGCUCGUUGGACUUUCUCGGUGUCCAACACAGCACAGCCAAGAACACGAUGCAUCAACGACAGGCUAUAGCUUUCGCCCUUCUCCAUGUGAUAAGCUGCAUUUUAGCUGAUAGUUUUGGCCAAAAUGGAUUCGGAAUGGAAGACGUACAGAAAGAAUUAGGAUUUACUUGCCAAAAUGGAGA